UUCAGGAGAAAAGCUUUUCUAUGGAUUUUUCCUCUUAGGAUUUAUUUCCCUGGAGACCUCAUGAAGAAUGAUGUGGGUUCUAUAGGGUACAGUGUGAUCUGGGUCCUGCCUAAUCUCCUUUCUAAACUUCAGAAAAUCAUGUACCUUGGAGUUGUGGAGGCAUGUUUAUAAGCAGAUCUGAGUUUUGCCACACUGGAAUUUAUUUAUUCAUUGAACAAAUAUUUAAUACCUACUACAAUUCUUAGCCGAUAUAUCAGCACAACUUCUCUGCUCCAACUAGUCUACAUUGCAAAGCAUCUCCUAGUGUCUUUGGAAGAAGGAUCUAUGGUGUUAUAUGUGAACAAAGAUGUAGACUAGUAAGGUAUCAAGAUUUGAUGGGGAUAUCCAGACAACUUGGAGCCAAGUCCCCACAGCUGGAUCAGACAACUUUUGGUGACAUCUCACAGUGUGGAUUAUCAAGCCAGUGUAUCAGUCUGGAGCCUAGGUUUUUUGCCUUUAGCUUUGCUCAGGAUGACUUCUGCUCUUCUAUGGCAAUACUUGAGAAGCUACAGCUUUGAUUAGACGAGAGGCUAUUUCAAUAACUUUCUCCUGAUAAGAAGACCACCGACCGUGGACGGAUUCUGGCCAGUUUACAAAGGCUGCAUACCAUAGGGCAGGGCACCCCACUAUGGCAAACACUAAUAAUGAUAUUGCUCCUGAUUUUGUUUCUGAAGGGAAUGCCUCUAAGAUUUCUUCAUUAAUUAUAAGAGACUGGGUCUCACUCUGUUGCCCAAGCUGGAGAACAGUGGCACCAUCAUAGCUCACUGCAGCCUUCAACUUCUGGGCUCAAGUGCUUCUCCCACCUCAGCCUCCCAAGUAGCUGGGACAACAGGUGAAAUUGAAGGCCAGCUUUUGGAACUCAACCUUCAAAGGAACUUAAAAUUUCCAUUAUGUAGAGUCCCUGAGGAAACUGGAUCCACUAGCUACACUGGCUGAGAAUGCUCUCACCCCAGGAUUUCAUUUUUAUUUUACCACAUCAUUGUUGGUAUCUUAAGAUCAAUGUACUGGAGCAGCGGGGUCUCACAAAGAGGAUACCUGGUGACACGCCCAGGCUUUCAGAAUGCACUAUAGGGCUUUAGUGACUUGUCCAGGUUCAGCUGAAAUGUGCCAUCUGGGACCUACUAAUGCUUGUUGAACUUUACUGGAUCUCAGAAGCUGGGUCUCAGAAGCUCAGAUGUUCCUCAGAGCUACGAUAUCAACAACCUGUGAUGACAGAGAGAAGGUUGCUCCAUGAUGGAUUUGGAAACUUACUGGCUAGCUAAACCUGACUGAAUGGGAAGGAAUGUGGAUAGCUUUGGAACUCUAGUUUCACUAGAUGAGCUGGAAUUUGUAUUUUGACAAAUUGCACGUUAUGAUUAUUAAGUAAUGCAACUGAUUUUUUUUUCCCUUAAAACAAACAAUCUAGAAUCUGUGUAAUCAAAAUAAUUUCUCUAAAAGGCUGCAAGUAUAUGCUUAAAGUGUUGGGGCAUUCAGAGCAUUUGGAACAUUACAUUCUUUUGAAUGUCAAUUGGUAGAUGAAAAUACCAGCUUUUAAGUCAUACAUUUGAUUUUUUGAAACAAUAUGCAUUUAGAGUUUGUAAGUCAAGUGAAUAACUGAUAAGGUAAAAAAAAGGGGGAGUUCAUUGUUGAGUAUGAAUUUAAAGUAACCAGACUGCCUUUUGUCCAGUGGCUGUCAGUAAUUUACUUCAGCAGGCAUUUUUUUUUUUUUGAGGCUGUUCUAUGAUAUCAUGACCCUUCUUGUAGGAAUGUGCUUCCAGUGGUGAGGCAGUCUGAGAAUGUGUGAAGCAGUAUAAUGAAGCCAGACCAAGAUGGAAGCUUGGCCUGGGAUUUGAGCAUCAGGAAAACUGUUGAAGGGUUAUGUAUACAUCACACACACACACACACACACACACACACACACACACACACACACACUCUCUUCCAUACUCCUAUAACAACGUAUAGUAUUUACUAUACCUGGUGACAGGUAUUUACUAUACAUUGUUGAAGAUCUAUAACAUGGAAUGCCUAGUGCUAAGUGCAGUGUCCUUAGUGAAAUUGUAUUGGUUUGGAAUUAUUUAUGAGUUUGGGAUUAUUUGUCACUACCCUUAAAUGAUCUUGACACUCACCUAUUUGAAAAGAUAUUGAGGAUUUGCCAUUUGAUAUUGACCAGGGUGUAUUGUGCACAAAUAUUGUGAAUAUACAUCUGUCUGUCCUUAAAUCACUGUAAGUUUUAACUGGAAUAGAUUUGCUCCACAUUACUCGGUAGGGCUGAUAUUUCAUGCCUCAUGGAUGAGAAAAGAAUAGGCAAAAAUUAUAUCUCGGGCUGCCUCACACAUCUUUUAACAGGAUAAGGGAAAAAUAAAUAUAAGACCUAUGAGUUAUGGCAUCAGGCUUGAACUUUAAUUUAUGAAUUAAACCAACAAUAUUAUUGAUUAUUGCAAUUAUCUAUCUUAAUUUCAUUUGUUCUCCUUUUAAAAAUUAAUUAUGUUUAUUUUACCUAUUGUGAAUAAAGUCACUCCUCCCAUGUGCUUAUUUCUUGACUCUGGCACUAAUUAUUCUUCAGUGCCUAGAUUUCCUGGGACUGCUCAGUUUAAGUAACUUCUGAACAUUGGUCUCUGAGAGAAAAGACAGUGAAGUGGGAUCUGUGGAAAAACACAUCUGCAAAUGUCUCAUUUUUUUCUUCAGGGGUAAGUUUUCUUCCUUGGAGACUCUUGUCUUGAAAAAGUGAUACUAGAUCACCAUUUGGCAAGAUAAUUACAAAAGGCAGAUAGAGUAAUUAUUUUACAUAGCUGUUAUAGGGUGACUAAGAUCUCAGGGAAUGACUGUGUUCUGUAAUCCACUUGCCCCACUCAAUACCCCAAGUUUUAUACAAGCCAAAGAUGCUUGGAGCAGAAUCUGCUACCUGAGGCUCCAGGGCCUUGGCCUAGGGAAACUAAUACUUAACUUUUUAAGUGGUCAUUGAUGACAUCCCACUCCUUUCUGAGAUGGGUAUGAUUUGAAAGGCAGGUGUAUUCAUGGAGAGCAGGGCUUGGGACCUUUGCUGCAAGAGGAGGAACUAUUAGCCUAGACUUUUCUAAUAAGGACUUUCUCAUACCUGUUUCCUAGAUCUGGUCCACAUAGAAGAAAUCAGGGAACACACAGGGUAGGACUCUUAAAGGAGUAUGUUUCUUGGCUUUUUCCUAAAAACUAAAACAAAAACAUUCAUAGCAAAGCAGUUUAGCCCAGUGACUAAGAGUAUAGACAUUGGAAUCUGAAAGAUCUGGGUUGGAAUUCUGCUUCAGCCAUUUACUAAUUAUGUAACUUCACAUCUCUGAGAAUGGGGGAAAUUUUCUUUGCAGGGUUGUUACAAAGCUUAAAAGAGUUAAGUCAAGUGCCUGGAACAGAACAGCCAUUCAAUAAAUCAUAGAAAUUUUUGUUUUUACACAAAUUUUUAAAAAGUAAUAUUUUUUGCAUUUGUUAGAAAGACUAUAUUUUCUGUUUAGUGGAUGACAUCAUCAUCAUAAAAAUCACUGUUACAAGUUUUGUUUUGAGAAUUAAAAUCAUAUAUUAAUCCCAAUCACAUUGUGUUGGGAUUAAUCAACAUCUCUGGGCAUCUAAUACUGUAAAAACAUGGCCUGUGAUUGGUCUGCUUGGAAGUGCA
rnacentral:lncRNA from 1 species